rnacentral:rRNA from 1 species
AGGACGAACGCUGGCGGCGUGCUUAACACAUGCAAGUCGAGCGGAAAGGCCCUUCGGGGUACUCGAGCGGCGAACGGGUGAGUAACACGUGAGUAAUCUGCCUUCAGCUCUGGGAUAGCUCCGGGAAACCGGGAUUAAUACCGGAUAUGACCACUUCGGACAUCUGUUGUGGUGGAAAGUUUUUCGGCUGGAGAUGAGCUCGCGGCCUAUCAGCUUGUUGGUGGGGUAAAGGCCUACCAAGGCGACGACGGGUAGCCGGCCUGAGAGGGCGACCGGCCACACUGGGACUGAGACACGGCCCAGACUCCUACGGGAGGCAGCAGUGGGGAAUAUUGCGCAAUGGGCGGAAGCCUGACGCAGCGACGCCGCGUGGGGGAUGAAGGCCUUCGGUUGUAAACCCCUUUCAGCAGGGACGAAGCGUGAGUGACGGUACCUGCAGAAGAAGCGCCGGCUAACUACGCGCCAGCAGCCGC